CUCACCUCGGAAUCCUAGAGAGAGAAAACUGUGGAGAGAGAUCGACAGAGAGAGAGAGAUCGGUAGAGAGAGAGCGACGGCGCCGAUGACGGUGGCCGCACCAGCAACGACGGACGAUAAAAGUUGUUUUCGACAACCACGAGAGCCGCUAGCAGCGGCGACGACAAUGGACAGGCGGCAGCGCCAUCAUUCUUGCGUCCAGAAAACAAUGACGGUCGUGGAGUUCGAAGCGAUGGCGGAGGAGUGUCAGGAAUGGUGAUAGCCAGUGUGGUGUCGUUAAGGUAGUGGCGGCGACUUUAAUUUCUUUCGACAUGCUCACCGCUGAUGUCUUCAGUGGUGGUGGUGGUUAUAUUGAUUCAGGUGACUCGGUUUCAGUUCGGGUCACGGGUCGAGACGCGGGUUCGAGUCAGCGGGUCAAACCCGGACGACUCGGGUCAAACCGAGUUGACUCGGUCAACACCCGAAUCAACUCGGGUCAACAGCAGGCGCAACGGAUCAGGGCGUGGUCAGUUUGGUCAGAUUGCUCCGGUUUGAGUUUCACGACACGAACGGUUCAAAAUUCAAGUCACGUUUUUGGUUCGGGUCUCGGUCGACAUCGAUCAACGAAAGUCAGCAGUUCAA